AUCACCUGGGGACCUUGUUAAAAUGCAGAUUCUGAUUCAUUUAAGUCUGGCGUGGGACCUGAGAGUCUGCAUUUUUAACAAGCAGCCUUGGUGAUGCCCA
rnacentral:pre_miRNA from 1 species